AUACUUACCUGGCAGGGGAGAUACCAUGAUCACGAAGGUGGUUUUCCCAGGGCGAGGCUUAUCCAUUGCACUCCGGAUGUGCUGACCCCUGCGAUUUCCCCAAAUGUGGGAAACUCGGCUGCAUAAUUUGUGGUAGUGGGGGACUGCGUUCGCGCUCUCCCCUA
rnacentral:snRNA from 1 species